rnacentral:rRNA from 1 species
CCUACGGGAGGCAGCAGUGAGGAAUAUUGGUCAAUGGGCGCGAGCCUGAACCAGCCAAGUCGCGUGAAGGAUGACUGCCCUACGGGUUGUAAACUUCUUUUAUAAAGGGAUAAAGUGAGGCACGCGUGCCUUUUUGUAAGUACUUUAUGAAUAAGGAUCGGCUAACUCCGUGCCAGCAGCCGCGGUAAUACGGAGGAUUCGAGCGUUAUCCGGAUUUAUUGGGUUUAAAGGGAGCGUAGGUGGGUUGUUAAGUCAGAUGUGAAAGUCUGCGGCUCAACCGUAAAAUUGCAAUUGAUACUGGCAGGCUUGAGUACAGUUGAGGUAGGCGGAAUUCAUGGUGUAGCGGUGAAAUGCUUAGAGAUCACGAAGAACUCCGAUUGCGAAGGCAGCUUACUAAACUGCCACUGACGUUGAUGCUCGAAAGUGUGGGUAGCAAACAGGAUUAGAUACCCGUGUAGUC